rnacentral:rRNA from 1 species
AGAACUAUGUCUGGGAGUGGCACACUGCUCAGUAACACGUAGCUAACCUACCCUUAGGACGUGGAUACCCCCGAGAAAUUGGGGUUAAUCCGCGAUAGAUGUAAUGUCCUGGAAUGGUAUUACGUCUAAAGGUAUUUCAUACAUGUUUGAAAUAUGCCUAAGGGUGGGGCUGCGGCCGAUCAGGCUGUUGGUGAGGUAAUGGCUCACCAAACCUUUGACCGGUACGGGCCAUGAGAGUGGUAGCCCGGAGAUGGACACUGAGACAAGGGUCCAGGCCCUAAGGGGCGCAGCAACCGCGAAACCUCCACAAUGCACUCACGUGCGAUGGGGCUAUCUCGAGUGCCACCUGAUGAAGGUGGCUUUUCCUUGGUCUUCAAAGCCUUGGGAAUAAGAGGGGGGCAAGACUGGUGUCAGCCGCCGCGGUAACACCAGCCCCUCGAGUGGUGGGGAUGAUUAUUUGGCCUAAAGCGUCCGUAGCCGGCCGUGAAAGUCUUCCGUUAAAUCCAGCGUCUCAAGCGUUGGACCGCGGGAGAUACUACAUGGCUAGAGAGUGGGAGAGGUCAGCGGUAUUCUGGGGGUAGGGGCGAAAUCCUUUGAUCCCCGGAGGACCACCAGUGGCGAAGGCUGCUGACUAGAACACGUCUGACGGUCAGGGACGAAAGCUGGGGUAGCGAACCGGAUUAGAUACCCGGGUAGUCCCAGCCGUAAACGAUGCAUGCUAGGUGUUGGGUUGGCCACGAGCCACCCCAGUGCCGCAGGGAAGCCGUUAAGCAUGCCGCCUGGGAAGUACGAUCGCAAGAUUGAAACUUAAAGGAAUUGGCGGGGGAGCACCACCAGGCGUGAAGCCUGCGGUUUAAUUGGAGUCAACGCCGGGAAU